UCCCAAAGGGAAAUCCCACCAUAUCCAUCCAUCGUCAGGCCACUCCGAAACCUACAUAGCUCUAUUUUGGCCCCAGCACCAGUGCGUCUAUAUGUGGUACACAGCCAUGCAGGAAUAUGUGUGACUGCAUUUAAUAGAAGACUGGUAUUUCAUUACGUAUAAUUUACAUCAACUACUCAAACCACAGCAAGCUGCACUUCUCUGGAUGCUUCAAAGAACUUGCCGUAAAUCAGAGAUCUACCAUGGCCAGCAACAGGAUACCGACAGCAAUCUUAGGUAUACCACUCAGCAUCAUGAUGAGUGGUAAACCUUUGCGACAUUGCAAAAUGCUACAGCAGCACAAUCUACUUGCAUGCCCACCCCAUUCUAGGAGGAGCAAU